rnacentral:piRNA from 1 species
UGAGCUAUUCGAUUCGAUAUA